rnacentral:rRNA from 1 species
CCUACGGGAGGCAGCAGUGAGGAAUAUUGGUCAAUGGGCGUAAGCCUGAACCAGCCAAGUCGCGUGAGGGAUGAAGGUUCUAUGGAUCGUAAACCUCUUUUAUAAGGGAAUAAAGUGUGGGACGUGUCCUAUUUUGUAUGUACCUUAUGAAUAAGGAUCGGCUAACUCCGUUCCAGCAGCCGCGGUAAUAUGGGGGAUCCGAGGGUUAUCCGGAUUUAUUGGGUUUAAAGGGUGCGUAGGCGGCCUUUUAAGUCAGCGGUGAAAGUCUGUAGCUGAACCAUAGAAUUGCCGUUGAUACUGGGGAGCUUGAGUAUGUUUGAGGCAGGCGGAAUGCGUGGUGUAGCGGUGAAAUGCUUAGAUAUCACGCAGAACCCCGAUUGCGAAGGCAGCCUGCCAGGCCAUGACUGACGCUGAUGCACGAAAGCGUGGGGAUCAAACAGGAUUAGAUACCCCAGUAGUC